rnacentral:rRNA from 1 species
UGGGGAAUAUUGGACAAUGGGGGCAACCCUGAUCCAGCAAUGCCGCGUGUGUGAAGAAGGCCUUCGGGUUGUAAAGCACUUUUGUCCGGAACGAAACGUGUCGGGUUAAUAACCCGGCAAACUGACGGUACCGGAAGAAUCCGCACCGGCUAACUACGUGCCAGCAGCCGCGGUAAAACGUAGGUUCCGAGCGUUAUCCGGAUUUACUGGGCGUAAAGCGCGUUCAGGCGGUUUGGCAAGUCGGGCAUGAAAUCCUUCGGCUCAACCGGGGGAGGUUGUCCGAUACUGCUGAACUGGAGGGCAGUAGAGGGUGGUGGAAUUCCGGGUGUAGUGGUGAAAUGCGUAGAGAUCCGGAGGAACACCAGUGGCGAAAGCGGCCACCUGGACUGCACCUGACGCUGAAACGCGAAAGCUAGGGGAGCGAAC